UACGAAGGGGGCUAGCGUUGCUCGGAAUCACUGGGCGUAAAGGGUGCGUAGGCGGGUCUUUAAGUCAGGGGUGAAAUCCUGGAGCUCAACUCCAGAACUGCCUUUGAUACUGAGGAUCUUGAGUUCGGGAGAGGUGAGUGGAACUGCGAGUGUAGAGGUGAAAUUCGUAGAUAUUCGCAAGAACACCAGCGGCGAAGGCGGCGCUCUGGGCCGGUACUGACGCUGAGGAGCGAAAGCGUGGGGGAGCAAACAGG
rnacentral:rRNA from 1 species